CUCGCGAGACUUCAUCAAUCCGAACCAAAACAUAGCUAACGCGCUAAUGUGUUAGCCGCGCUGUUUUGCAGUGUGUGUAUUCAGACUGUGUGUGUAUCAGAUGGAGAACCCGGCGGAUCCUGAACCGGAGCCCAUCAGGCUGAAAUCUCUCAAAUCCAGCAGGAGCUUUACUGUCCCGCACACCGAGCGGUUGGGGAACUGCAGGAGUGUCAAAGAGUUUGAGAAACUCAACCGCAUUGGAGAGGGAACGUACGGCAUCGUGUACAGAGCCCGUGACACACGCACAAAUGAGAUUGUGGCCCUUAAGAAAGUGCGCAUGGAUAAAGAGAAGGACGGGAUCCCUAUCAGCAGUCUGAGAGAGAUCACACUGCUCCUCAGGCUCAGACAUCCGAACAUUGUGGAGCUGAAGGAGGUGGUGGUGGGGAGCCAGUUAGAGAGCUUGUUCCUGGUAAUGAGUUACUGUGAGCAGGAUUUGGCCAGCCUCCUGGAGAACAUGCAGUCUCCCUUCUCAGAGGCACAAGUGAAGUGUAUUGUUCUGCAGCUGCUCAGGGGUCUGGUGUAUCUUCAUCACAACUUCAUCCUGCACAGGGAUCUGAAGGUGUCAAAUCUUUUGAUGACAGAUAAAGGCUGUGUGAAGAUCGCGGAUUUUGGCCUGGCACGUGUUUAUGGAGUCCCUCAGCAGCCCAUGACCCCUAAAGUAGUGACUCUGUGGUACAGAGCACCUGAGCUCCUUCUGGGCACCAAGACACAGACCACUGCACUGGACAUGUGGGCAGUGGGGUGUAUCCUGGCUGAACUCCUGGCCCAUAAGCCCCUGUUGCCAGGCAGCUCAGAGAUCCAACAGCUGGAUCUGAUUGUGCAGCUGUUGGGAACACCGAACGAGAACAUCUGGCCGGGCUUCUCGCGGCUCCCCCUGGUGGGUCAGUACAGUUUAAGGAAACAGCCUUACAACAACCUGAAAAAUAAAUUCACCUGGCUGUCAGAGGCUGGACUCCGCCUCCUCAACCUGCUCUUUAUGUACAACCCCCAACGCAGGGCCUCAGCCAAGGACUGUUUAGAGAGUUCGUACUUCAAAGAGAAACCUUUGCCAUGUGAACCAGAGCUCAUGCCCACCUUCCCUCACCAUCGGAACAAACGGGCGGGGCCUAUUGCCGAGAGCCAAUCAAAACGGAGCAAACCGGGCCACUCCCUUGCAUCCUGAUCCUCGACACCCAAUCAAAAAAGAACUAUAAUCAUGCAGCCAGGAGCCAAUCAGAAGGAAGCACCUUCUCACUCUUAACAGCCAAUCAGAAGGAAGUGAUAUGUGUUAACCAGAGAUUAGAGCUUCUGCUGCACACCUGAGACAGGUCCAGUGCAGUGUGUGUGUGUGUGUGUGUGUGUGUGUUGGUAAUUAAUGCUUACACAGUGUCUCAGUUUGUACCUCAGUGUAUGAUGUUACACUUGUGUAUUUAUUACAUUUUCGCUCCACCUGCGUUGAAACCCUGAAAUCCAACAUGAAGUGAAAAUCCCUGAAUGGUAAUCUGUCCCGGUCCGAGUCCAGAUCCUCUCAACUGUCAGCUGACUGACCAGUAGACCUUAGGGCAUGUACACUGCCCUUUAGGGGACAAGCUGAGACAAACUGAGUCCACACAGUUAACACAGUAAACUAAUCACACAACAUUAAACUGGUGAUCAGGAGGUUGUGUGUUUGUUUGACCUGGUGAUCAGGAGGUUGUGUGUUUGUUUGACCCUCUGGUGAUCAGGAGGUUGUGUGUUUGUUUGACCUGGUGAUCAGGAGGUUGUGUGUUUGUUUGACCCCCUGGUGAUCAGGAGGUUGUGUGUUUGUUUGACCCCCUGGUGAUCAGGAGGUUGUGUGUUUGUUUGACCCCCUGGUGAUCAGGAGGUUGUGUGUUUGUUUGACCCCCUGGUGAUCAGGAGGUUGUGUGUUGAUAGCGUUUUGUUUGUUUUAAAUUGUUUCUUCUCAGUAAAAUCUUAUUUUUCUCUCAUUCACAUUCUCAUUUCUCUCUUACACACUG